rnacentral:rRNA from 1 species
GAUGAACGCUGGCGGCGUGCCUAAUACAUGCAAGUCGAGCGAACGGACGAGAAGCUUGCUUCUCUGCUGUUAGCGGCGGACGGGUGAGUAACACGUGGAUAACCUACCUAUAAGACUGGGAUAACUUCGGGAAACCGGAGCUAAUACCGGAUAAUAUUUUGAACCGCAUGGUUCAAAAGUGAAAGACGGUCUUGCUGUCACUUAUAGAUGGAUCCUCGCUGCAUUAGCUAGUUGGUAAGGUAACGGCUUACCAAGGCAACGAUGCAUAGCCGACCUGAGAGGGUGAUCGGCCACACUGGAACUGAGACACGGUCCAGACUCCUACGGGAGGCAGCAGUAGGGAAUCUUCCGCAAUGGGCGAAAGCCUGACGGAGCAACGCCGCGUGAGUGAUGAAGGUCUUCGGAUCGUAAAACUCUGUUAGUAGGGAAGAACAUAUGUGUAAGUAACUGUGCACAUCUUGACGGUACCUAAUCAGAAAGCCACGGCUAACUACGUG